ACUCAGGUGAUCGAUAAUUAAAACGACAUAGAUCCCAUGGGAGGUGAACCUUGCUUGGAUAGCCGGUGGGGAUAUAUUUUCGAUCAGACACAUUCACUGCUUCUACUAGAUUGAGAGAGGACAAUUGUGUAUGUGUUAAUAUAAAAGUAUAAAACAUUGCUUUGACUAAGGGUUUAGUAUAUGAUGUUAUAGGGCACGUUUGUGCUUUUAUACUCAAAAUAAGUGCUCGUCAUUUUAGAAUUUGAAAAAAGUAAGACAAGAUAAUACGGUUGCCUCACAUCUAUAUUUAAGUGCAC
rnacentral:lncRNA from 1 species